rnacentral:tRNA from 1 species
UGCCAAAUGAGUAUAUCAGUACAUCGACUUUUCGAGUCGAAAGUCUUUCUAAUAAAUGGAAGAUUUGGCAG